rnacentral:rRNA from 1 species
UUGGAGGGCAAGUCUGGUGCAGCAGCCGCGGUAAUUCCAGCUCCAAUAGCGUAUAUUAAAGUUGUUGCAGUUAAAAAGCUCGUAGUUGAACCUCGGGGUCUACCCAUUGGUCAGGCUUAAUUGUCUGCACUGGUGAGAUGGAUCUCUACCUUCUGAGGAACUUUCAUGCCAUUUAUUUGGUGUGAUGGGAAAUCAGGACUAUUACUUUGAAAAAAUUAGAGUGUUUAAAGCAGACUAUCGUCUGAAUACAUUAGCAUGGAAUAAUGAAAUAGGACGGACUGAUUCUAUUUCGUUGGUUUCUAGGAUCACCGUAAUGAUUAAUAGGGAUAGUUGGGGGCAUUAGUAUUCAAUUGUCAGAGGUGAAAUUCUUGGAUUUAUUGAAGACUAACUACUGCGAAAGCAUUUGCCAAGGAUGUUUUCAUUAACCAAGAACGAAAGUUAGGGGAUCGAAGACGAUCAGAUACCGUCGUAGUCUUAACCAUAAACUAUGCCGACUAGGGAUCGGACGAAGUUAAUUUUAUAAUGACGCGUUCGGCGCCUUACGGGAAAC